GACGUAGGGAGCGAGCGUUGUCCGGAUUCAUUGGGCGUAAAGAGCGCGCAGGCGGCUUGGUAAGUCGGAUGUGAAAACCCGGAGCUCAACUCCGGGCGUGCAUCCGAUACUGCCCGGCUAGAGGUAGGUAGGGGAGAUCGGAAUUCCUGGUGUAGCGGUGGAAUGCGCAGAUAUCAGGAGAAACACCGGUGGCGAAGGCGGAUCUCUGGGCCUUACCUGACGCUCAGGCGCGAAAGCUAGGGGAGCGAACAGG
rnacentral:rRNA from 1 species